CGGGGAAUAUUGCGCAAUGGACGGAAGUCAGACGCAGCGACGCCGCGUGGACGAUGAAGGCCUUCGGGUUGUAAAGUCCUUUUCUGAGGGAAGAGACAGGACGGUACCUUGGGAAUAAGCGUCGGCUAACUACGUGCCAGCAGCCGCGGUAAGACGUAGGACGCGAGCGUUAUCCGGAUUUACUGGGCGUAAAGAGCCUGUAGGCGGUUGGGUAAGUUGGAUGUGAAAGCCCCGUGCUUAACGCGGGGAGGCCAUUCGAUACUGCCCGACUUGAGGGCGACAGAGGAGAGUGGAAUUCCUGGUGUAGCGGUAAAAUGCGCAGAGAUCAGGAGGAACACCGAUGGCGAAGGCAGCUCUCUGGGUCGCACCAGACGCUGAGAGGCGAAAGCUAGGGGAGCGAACA
rnacentral:rRNA from 1 species